UACGUAGGGGGCUAGCGUUGUCCGGAAUCAUUGGGCGUAAAGCGCGUGUAGGCGGUCCGGUAAGUCCGCUGUGAAAGUCGGGGGCUCAACCCUCGGAUGCCGGUGGAUACUGUCGGGCUUGAGUACGGAAGAGGCGAGUGGAAUUCCUGGUGUAGCGGUGAAAUGCGCAGAUAUCAGGAAGAACACCCGUGGCUAAGGCGGCUCUCUAGUACGGUACUGACGCUGAGACGCGAAAGCGUGGGGAGCGAGCAGG
rnacentral:rRNA from 1 species